rnacentral:lncRNA from 1 species
UUGGCCCGGCGCUUCCUCCAGACGAAGCAGCCCAGCCCGACGACCGCGGCGGCCGUGAAGGCGCCCACCACCACGCCGGCCUUCUUGCCGCCGUUCAUCUCCUCGUGGUCCUCGCCAUCCCCGCUGCCCUGCUCGGCGGCGGCGCUCGCGGCCUUAAUCUCCUCGGCGCCUGCGCCUGCGAGUCGGAGGGAGCCGGGAUUGGGGAGGUCUCGGUCGGAGCCGGAGGUGAUGAGCGG